rnacentral:rRNA from 1 species
UACGUAGGGCGCAAGCGUUGUCCGGAAUUAUUGGGCGUAAAGAGCUCGUAGGCGGUUUGUCGCGUCUGCUGUGAAAACCUAAGGCUCAACCUUGGGCUUGCAGUGGGUACGGGCAGACUAGAGUGCGGUAGGGGUGACUGGAAUUCCUGGUGUAGCGGUGGAAUGCGCAGAUAUCAGGAGGAACACCGAUGGCGAAGGCAGGUCACUGGGCCGCAACUGACGCUGAGGAGCGAAAAGCAUGGGGGAGCGAACAGG